UCAGAGAACUUGCUGUUACCAUGGAAACUUGUGGCUUAAAAUGACUUUUCAAACUUACCUACGCAGAUGGUGUUGGUGGAGUCCAGCUUGCUGCCGUGGGAACAUUCGCAGUUGAAAGAACCGGCUACGUUGCGGCACAUGCCGUUGAUGCAAGGGUUGGAGUCGCAUUCGUUGAUGUCUGAAAAAGAGGAGGACAGUCAAAGAUACAGGCCUAUAUGCACACAAGCACACUUGCCCGGGCUUGAAGGGGUUCACCGCACACAAGUUCAUCCCAUGAGUCAUUCAAGCAACAUGAAGCACGGCUCAGAUGCAGCCCAGGAGCGCAAGUCCUAAAGGGCAGGCUUGGAUCCAUGAACCGCAGACCCCCACUUUACAACACACCUGUUUGUUUUCACUCGGCAUUGUUUAAAUUCCACCCAAGCACCACUUAUGUUAAAGAUGGACCCAAAGAGGAAAAUAGUCAACCAGCUAAACCAGGAAUAUGAACAGCGGCUAGACCAUCAUAAACCAUCAUGUAGGCCGAUUCCAG
rnacentral:lncRNA from 1 species